UUUGAUAAUUAUUUAAAGUCGGGCCUGCCCAAUGAUUGUUUUAAUGGCCGCAGUAUUUUGACUGUGCAAAGGUAGCAUAAUCAUUUGUUUCUUAAUUAGUAUCUGGAAUGAAGGGUUUGACGAAAAAUUGACUGUCUCUUUAUAUUUUUGAAUUUUAUUUUUAAGUUAAAAAGCUUAAAUUUUUUUAAAAGACGAGAAGACCCUAUAGAGUUUUAUUAAAAUUGGUUUUAUUGUUUUGUUUAUUUUUCUUGUUUUAAUUUGAUUGGGGUGAUAGAAAAUAUUUAUUAAACUUUUUUUGUUUAUAUUUACUGAUUUGUAUGUUUUUGAUCUUGAUAUUCUGAUUAUAAGAUUAAAUUACCUUAGGGAUAACAGCGUAAUUUUUUGUUAGAGUUCUUAUCGAAUGAAAAGUUUGCGACCUCGAUGUUGGAUUAAAAUUUAUUUAUGGGGUAGGUUUUAUAAAUUUAGGUCUGUUCGACCUUUAAAAUUUU
rnacentral:rRNA from 1 species